GGGGAUUUAGCUCACUGGUAGAGCACUUGCCUAGCAAGCGCAAGGCCCUGGGUUCGGUCCCCAGCUCCA
rnacentral:tRNA from 1 species